UUGGCAGCCCUGAAAAUUGAAUUCCUCUAUUUAUCAACUAACCAGGGAAAAGGAUCAGUGCAGGCUUCACCACACUGCCCGGCCAAUGUACCUCAACCAUGAGCUGGAGCGGCCCCUCUUGGGGUGAGGGGUGAGUUUUGUCUCCAGGGCCAUUCAGUGCUCAGGCAGU
rnacentral:sRNA from 1 species